rnacentral:rRNA from 1 species
AAUCAACGCUGGCGGCGUGCCUAACACAUGCAAGUCGAACGCGAAAGCCCCGCAAGGGCAAGUAGAGUGGCAAACGGGUGAGUAACACGUGGGUGACCUGCCUUCGAGUGGGGAUAACGUCCCGAAAGGGACGCUAAUACCGCAUGACAUCCUGCCUUUGGACAGGCGGAGAUCAAAGCUGGGGAUCGCAAGACCUGGCGCUU